rnacentral:rRNA from 1 species
UACGUAGGGGGGCUAGCGUUGUCCGGAUUUAUUGGGCGUAAAGAGCGUGUAGGCGGCCUGGUAGGUCUGCUGUGAAAACUCGAGGCUCAACCUCGAGACGUCGGCGGAAACCAUCUGGCUAGAGUCCGGAAGAGGAGAGUGGAAUUCCUGGUGUAGCGGUGAAAUGCGCAGAUAUCAGGAAGAACACCCGUGACGAAGGCGGCUCUCUGGGACGGUACUGACGCUGAGACGCGAAAGCGUGGGGAGCGAACAGG